ACAACCCUUUCCUCUCCAGAUUGCUGAUUGGAGCCCCUCUUGCUAAAGCAUUGCCUAUCUGAUGAUUGUGAACGUAUUUCUGUUGAUAAAGAAGGUGGGAUGAUCUCCAAAAUAAGCAUUGAUGAAGAUGUAGGAAAAGCUGUGUAUGUUUUCAUCAACCAAGCCAAAGGGCAGCGCUGGAACCAAAUACAACCAGGGUGUCUAUAUGGGAAAAUGGACUCCAUGUUUGGACUAGCAGUGGCUCAUAUUGGGGAUAUCAACCAAGAUGGAUACCAAGAUUUUGCAGUGAGUGCUCCUAAUGAGGAUACAGGGAGAAGUCGGGUGUACAUAUGUCAUGGUUCAGCUGCAGACCCUCAUCAAAAACCAGAGGUUUGUAAAAGGAGUUACAUAUAUAAACUUGUCAUAAAAUGUCAAAAUAAGUGAAAAUG